rnacentral:rRNA from 1 species
UACGUAGGGGGCAAGCGUUGUCCGGAUUUAUUGGGCGUAAAGAGCGUGUAGGCGGCCAUGCAGGUCCGUUGUGAAAACUGGAGGCUUAACCUCCAGACGUCGAUGGAAACCGUAUGGCUAGAGUCCGGAAGAGGAGAGUGGAAUUCCUGGUGUAGCGGUGAAAUGCGCAGAUAUCUGGAGGAACACCGGUGGCGAAGGCGGCAUCCUGGACCGGCAUUGACGCUGAGGAGCGAAAGCCAGGGGAGCAAAGCGGG